CACUACUCAAUGAAAAUCCAAGCUUCAAAAUAACUACCCGAUGUUUGGAAGAGAGUGGCCAAAGAAAGAGCAAGGCUGAGGGUAGCAAAAAGCUGAGUGGAUGCUUGAUGACAACUUGGGGACAGGCUGACUUGGCAGCGUCCUGGCUCCCACCCUUGCCAGUGAACAGAACUGGAGGCUCAGUGCUGCAGAGGGUCUAGUCCCACCACCUCAUCCAGCUACAGUGAACCACUGGUACUGCUCUCUGAGGACAGAGUAUCUUCUGCACUCUAGGUGGAAUCCUGUACCGCGUCCUCACCAGGCUGCCUUUACACAAACCCGAGGCACGAACGUGCUGACUGGACAUGCUCUCGCGUCACCCUGCCAGCCUCGACCUACUAAACAAGGCCUGGGACCUUGGGAGCUCAGCACCACGCUAGCGGUUUUAAUUGCUUUCAACCAGGACUUGAAACGCAGCCAGAAAACGCACCAACUCUGAAAGUCGCUGUCUCAGCAGGGCUGUAUUAAAAAGGAGAUUUAAUGAGGGGAACAUGGAUGGAAAGCCGCCGGAGAACCGCCGCCAGAGCGCUGGUCGUUUUUAGCCCUUUU